GAUGUGAGAGACGGUCAGGACUCAUACUUUCAGUCAGAACUCAACCCGCCCCUUCAGCACUCACAUGCAAACAGAUACACACCCACCACCAACUCUUUAACGCUGAAAGAGGGAGGAGGUGCAGGGUGCAGUACACUAUGAAAACCAGGAACAGAUGUACACUCUGAUGAGGAUGCUCACUGCUUUCCCGCCCUGCCCCAACACCAUUAUAUUAAAAACUGGUCUGGA